rnacentral:rRNA from 1 species
CAGCAGCCGCGGUAAGACAGAGGAUGCAAGUGUUAUCCGGAAUGAUUGGGCGUAAAGCGUCUGUAGGUGGCUUUUCAAGUCUGUUGCCAAAUCCCAGGGCUCAACCCUGGACAGGCGGUGGAAACUACCUAGCUGGAGUACGGAAGGGGCAGAGGGAAUUUCCGGUGGAGCGGUGAAAUGCGUUGAGAUCGGAAAGAACACCAUUGGCGAAAGCACUCUACUGGGCCGACACUGACAUUGAGAGACGAAAGCUAGGGGAGCAAAUGGGAUUAGAUACCCGAGUAGUCCCUGUCUCUUAUAC